CUUGUUUCGCUUCCGUGUUAAAGAGGGCCCACGUGGGGUGUUUCUUUUCAUUUUCAACAACGGAGGGCAAGUGGAGCGACUCUCACAACAACGCGCGGAGAGCGCCGGGCGGAUAAACUACUGCAAGUUGGCACAGGGGCGCUGCAAACCUACGCACCCCCUGCAUGGACGACGGAGGCGCAGGGACAGACGUUCGAUUACGUUGGAAUCGAUCUGCAGACGGCGGUCUUCUCGCACGGCCAGCAGCUCUAUGUCGCCUUAUCUCGACCCCGCAAUCCCAAACAGAUUUCGAGUUGGAGAAUAUAAAAGGGAAUCUACCCUGGAGAAGUCUUCACGUCCAUCGUUGUAUACAUGUCAAUCCCCGAGUUCACUUGAAAAACUCAUUCUAAAAUAAUGUGCAGCCACUGAACUGGACAUAUAAAUGCCCUACAGUUCACAGGUGCUGCACUGACGCUGCUGCUGGAAGCGAUUCCACGAGAGGGAGCUGUAUGGGCUAUCUGGUAUACUCUUCCACGAUACUCGGAUCUUGGAGCAGGUCGCUGGUGAGGAUGUUAAACAGGAUCAGAGCCAGUACUGAUCCCUGAGGUAAGCCGUCGUUGACAUUUUUUGCAUGGCUUGUUACCGGGAAGGUGUGACACUUGAUGAUGUGCACUGCCUUGAGUAGGAACCCAUGUCUGCAGAUGGUGUCAUAGGCGGAUGAGAGGUCUAUCAUGGUGAUACAGGUUUUUCUCUUUCGCUGGAAUCCAGCUUUGAUGUAGCUGGUGAGGGGAAGGACCUGCUCACAGCAGCUUCUGGCAGGUCGAAAGCCGGAUUAAGUGCCUCAUCGCACGACUAAAACCAUCACUUCAGCCUUUUUGGAAAUCGUGUAUAUUUGUAAAUACUGUCCAAAAAAUGGUUAUUUUCAGGGCCAAAACAUCAGCCAAAGAAGAGUGGGACCAGCAUUACGAGUGUAUCAACUAAACGUGGAAGGCCUCUCACGUGCAAAGUGUGAGGAACUCGGCAAGUGUUUACAUCAAGAACACAUCGACGUUGUUGCACUCCAGGAAACCCACGCCGAAGAUAAGCGACUCACGAUCUAUAAAAUCGAUGAUUUGAAGCUAUCGUGACUGCAGGAAUUCAUACUCUUUGGUUCUUUCGGUAAAGUCACAUAGUUAGAAAUAAAAUAAAACAAAUCACGACGUUUCGAUCGCAACACAAGUGGUCGUCAUCAGGCAAAGGAGUCAGCCUCUAAAGGCAAACUGUUUAUAAAGGUUUGGGGAUGGGCGUAGCCCAAGUGUAUCAACAGCACCAGGAGCAUGGGCGGUGCACGAGUGCCAAUGCAGCAACAAUGUCAAUGCAGCAACAAUGCCAAUGCAGCAACAAUGCCAAUGCAGCAACAAUGCCAAUGCAGUGGACGAGAGAGCUUACGUGGCAAGA